UUUAUUUUGGCGGUAGAUCUAUAGUCUUGUUUUUUGUUUUUCUAAGAAGAAAUACGAAUUAAUCUAGGCCCUUUAUGAACGCCCCCCCCGCUGGUGACACUCGCCUUUAGCACCUUUAGUGUCGUGACUAGUCAACUGCGCGAGAGAGGUGAUAACGAGGCGGCGACUAGAGUUAAAAUCGGGCGAUAAGCCCCGCUGUUCUCCACAAGUUUAUCGGCUCUCCCUUGGCCAAGACUCAUGGGUCCGGCCAAAUCUUACCAGCAAUGCAGUUUCGGCAACGGGCAGCCUGGGUCGUACUCUUCCUCUAUCUCGGCUGCGGAUUCCUCUGCCUGACUCAGUUAUUCCAACUGAGGAACGGCGGAACUCUCUUGCGCGUUCAGGUUACCAGCAGAGCUCCAGCCACUAAGUUCGUGCGAAGCAAUGUUUCGAGCACGGUGCUUGUCGUCUUUGCGAUUUCCUCUAUGUGCAGGGAUUCGCAGUACUGCUGGCUUGUACAAAGACGGACACGAAGUUCCGCAUGGUGAACAGCAUGUUUCCAUUUCUGCUGUGCACUAUGUGGACGACGUUUCGGAGGAAACCGACACGCAAUGGCGGCAACAAAUUGGACGUCGAAGCAGAGCCAUUUGAACUCCCAGUGUAAUAUCCCCGGACACUCAAGAGCGGUUUAGAUUGCCAUCGACUUCAAUCAGGAUAGAAAUUAUCUAUCGCAGUUAUCUGCGGCCUCUGCAGAUGAACCACUUGUGUUUGCAAAAUUUGAUCCUGACCAACUGUCUGUUUUGACUGAUGCAUCGAUUUUACACAGUGUAUUAUUGUGGGCAUUCGCAGAAUUGCUCCAUGCAUUCCUUUGAGCUACUUGCGUGGUCACCCAUGUCUGAUCCAAUCGGCACAAAGAUGGAAUUCAUGAACGGUCGUGUACUUGAUCUAACGUCAGUACAGUUCAGGUUAAACAGAAUGUACGCCGGCUUUUAAGCAUUGACAAGCACACCGUGCGCAUGCAUUUUGUUAAAUCGACUGAUUUACGAGAUGGCCAGACUUGCUUGCUUAUGGAAUCUUUCAUGUGAGGCAGCAUUUAUGGGAAACUUACAGGCCACCAUUUAAGAGCUUGUUUACACAGAGCGCCAUAAUCCACGAAUACACAAAUGUGUCAUUUGAGCUAUUUAUACACGUGCCUUAGAACAAGUGCAAUAUGUUUUUACUUGUUUGUGCUAUGUCCUAGAAUGAAUAAUUAUAUAGUGAGAUUUACACCCUAUUCACAAAUGCUCCUCUUCUCAAAUUUCGUCCUUCACUUGACAGAACUGAGCACUGCACUGCUGCUUGACCAAAAAUGACUUGCUCUGCCUAGAGAUGACACCCCUAUAGACUUUCUCCGGUCUAGGUGAAGUGUUGAGUGAAGGGACAUUCUAGAAUACGGGGAACACUUCUCAUGAGUGCAUGUGCGAAUUCUCUUCAAAUGCUCUGCUUUGUGUGUUAUACGUAGCUUCUAAAUGCAAACUGGCUUUGAUAUUUAAAUCUCUUAAAAAAAUUGCAUUAAAAACGUACAUAUAACUCUCGUGGUUCAUUGCAAACCAAAUGCAAUUUUCUACUAGUGAGAAUGCUAGUACCUCUCGUUACUUAUUGUCAGCCAGUCUAAGGUACUGUUCACAUAUUUCAACGCUUCUGCAUUAACUCAAACUUUAAAUAACAGCAAAUCCGCAAAAUUGUUUUAAUGCACAAUGAAGAAAAGUUGGCAUGCUAUAUUAGCUGGCUCAUCCUUUCCCAUGAUACAUUUGUGUAAAAGCACAGAAAUGUUUCACAACCUAUCACUAGCUUUAAAACAAUGCUCCCCACAUUGCAGUGAAACUGGAUCUGUGGACAAAACUUGUCAAACUCACGGUAACCACGUCUGAUAUUUAAAAUUUGUGUGGAGCCAGGAAAACGUGCAGAAAUGAAAUAUGCCGAGCUUAGCUAAUUGAAUUGCACUGUAGAUGCUAGUUUUUUUAUAUGUCAAUGUUUUUAGUUGUUAAUGAGUGUUUGCGAUGCCCUCUACAACGCAUCUGUAUUCAGUACUUACUCCUGCAUAUGAAAGAAAAACAGAAAGAAUACUUUGAAAGAAGUGUGUCUCAAACAUUUAUGUUUAUAUUGUAAUUAGCUUUUAAUAUUACCUUCGGCUGACCUCAACAUUUACGUCGGAUCACUGCAGCACAAGCAGCUACACGUGGAAUCGCCAUCGCUUGCUGUCAUUGAAAAAUAGCCGAUCGCAUCUUCGCAGCACAACUGGCAACAUUUUGCUCUUUUGACAGUAAAUAUUCGUACAGUGUGCGACUUGUUACCAUUUGUAACUUGCAAGGCAUCAGUCAUAAAUCAUUUUUAUCGUUAUGAGCCAAAGUUACAACGCAUCAUCGCUACAUUUCUGUCGCGAGUUCCAUCUCAUCGCAUUUUCCUACAAACAGCCAACCUACCAUACUAAAAAGUGUCACUUAUAUUUUGUUUACGCGGUUUUUCUUUGUGGUGCAUGAUGCUGACUGAAUGCUAGACUGCACAUUUUUCAAUUUGCCACAAGACCAUGUGUUGUUGAGAUGCCAAAUACGCCCGUGCUACCAAUUUACGGUUGAACGCUGAGGUAAUGAAUUGGAAUGUAGCGAAGUCUGAAAUGUCUCCAAUAUUUGUGUGCACAGCAUGCAUGCACUUAUACUAAAUAUGAGAUCACAGUUUGUGCUGGACUUCAAUUCUUUACGUUAUGGUACCCCAGUAGUCAUAAGUAUAGUCAUGAAUUUCGUAGUUUGCGCUGCUUUUAUAGAGCCAUACCAACUAAGUUGUCAACUUUGCUGCUGUCAUGCAUUUAGUCAUGCGAGAUGUACAAAGCAAUUGUGAUAUGCGACAGUUGUCAUGACAAAAGCCAAAUAAAGAAAUGAGUCAUUGAUUUAUUUUCUUGAA